GUCCUACGGGAGGCAGCAGUAGGGAAUCUUCCACAAUGGGCGGAAGCCUGAACCAGCCAAGUCGCGUGAGGGAAUAAGGCCCUACGGGUCGUAAACCUCUUUUGCCGGGGAGCAAGGGCGGGGACGUGUCCCGGCCCGGAGAGUACCCGGAGAAAAAGCAUCGGCUAACUCCGUGCCAGCAGCCGCGGUAAUACGGAGGAUGCGAGCGUUAUCCGGAUUUAUUGGGUUUAAAGGGUGCGUAGGCGGGCUUUUAAGUCAGCGGUAAAAAUUCGGGGCUCAACCCCGUCCGGUCGUUGAAACGGGGG
rnacentral:rRNA from 1 species